rnacentral:rRNA from 1 species
GUGGGGAAUCUUGCGCAAUGGGCGAAAGCCUGACGCAGCCAUGCCGCGUGGAUGAUGAAGGUCUUAGGAUUGUAAAAUCCUUUCACCGGUGAAGAUAAUGACUGUAGCCGGAGAAGAAGCCCCGGCUAACUUCGUGCCAGCAGCCGCGGUAAUACGAAGGGGGCUAGCGUUGCUCGGAUUUACUGGGCGUAAAGGGCGCGUAGGCGGACAUUUAAGUCAGGGGUGAAAUCCCGGGGCUCAACCUCGGAACUGCCUUUGAUACUGGGUGUCUUGAGUAUGAGAGAGGUGUGUGGAACUGCGAGUGUAGAGGUGAAAUUCGUAGAUAUUCGGAAGAACACCAGUGGCGAAGGCGACACACUUGCUCAUUACUGACGCUGAGGCGCGAAAGCGUGGGGAGCAAACAGGAUUAGAUACCCUUGUAGUCC